AAUCAACGCUGGCGGCGUGCCUAACACAUGCAAGUCGAGCGAGAAAGUGGAGCAAUCCAUGAGUAAAGCGGCGACCGGGUGAGUAACACGUGACUAACCUACCUUCGAGUGGGGAAUAACUCCGGGAAACCGGGGCUAAUACCGCAUAACAUCGAAAGAUCAAAGCAGCAAUGCGCUUGAAGAGGGGGUCGCGGCUGAUUAGCUAGUUGGCGGGGUAACGGCCCACCAAGGCGAAGAUCGGUAUCCGGCCUGAGAGGGCGCACGGGCACACUGGAACUGAAACACGGUCCAGACUCCUACGGGAGGCAGCAGUGGGGAAUUUUGCGCAAUGGGGGAAACCCUGACGCAGCAACGCCGCGUGGAGGAUGAAGCCCCUUGGGCGUAAACUCCUUUCGACCAAGACGAUAAUGACGGUACUGGUGGAAGAAGCACCGGCUAACUCUGUGCCAGCCGCCGCCGUAAU
rnacentral:rRNA from 1 species